UACGUAGGGGGCGAGCGUUAUCCGGAAUUACUGGGUGUAAAGGGAGCGUAGACGGUAAUGUAAGUCUGGAGUGAAAGGCGGGGGCCCAACCCCCGGACUGCUCUGGAAACUAUGUUACUAGAGUGCAGGAGAGGUAAGCGGAAUUCCAUGUGUAGCGGUGAAAUGCGUAGAUAUAUGGAGGAACACCGGUGGCGAAAGCGGCUCUCUGGCCUGUAACUGACACUGAGGCUCGAAAGCGUGGGGAGCAAACAGG
rnacentral:rRNA from 1 species